AAUCAUGUUUAAUUUAUCACACUGGUUCAGUCAAAGUAAACAGAUCAAAACUUAAAGCCACUGUGUGUAGAAUUAAAAAUGAUUUGUGCAAUAUUCUCAGA